rnacentral:rRNA from 1 species
AUACGGAGGAUCCGAGCGUUAUCCGGAUUUAUUGGGUUUAAAGGGUGCGCAGGCGGCCAUUUAAGUCAGCGGUUAAAUCGUGGGGCUCAACCCCAUUCUGCCGUUGAUACUGGGUGGCUUGAUUGCGGUCGAGGUUGGCGGAAUUCGUUGUGUAGCGGUGAAAUGCAUAGAUAUGACGAAGAACACCGAUUGCGUAGGCAGCUGACCAGAUCGCAAAUGACGCUCAUGCACGAAAGUGCGGGGAUCGAACAGGAUUAGAUACCCUGGUAGUCCACACAGUAAACGAUGAAUACUCGCUGUUUGCGAUACACGGUAAGCGGCCAAGCGAAAGCGUUAAGUAUGCCACCUGGGGAGUACGCCGGCAACGGUGUAACUCAAAGGAAUCGACGGGG